rnacentral:lncRNA from 1 species
AGGAGAGAUGUGCUAGGGUACAGGACCUAGCUAGGGUACAGGCAAGGAAAACAUUUCUAAUGUACAGAAUGAUAGAGUCACAAAGUCAAUCAAAGCCAAACCUGGACCCCUACCUCACUUGAUGGGGACUGGCCCUAGCUGAAUUUACCUCACUAUCAGAACUGUCUCUUGUCUUAACUCGGGAACCCAACAGAUGUGGGUAGGAGGAUUACAGCUCUUUGGCUACAAUUUAUUUCUGUUGUCUAUUUCUGCAAAAUGGACUCCGCAGAACACAGUGGGAAAACAAUGACUUCUGUGCUCCUGUUUCUCUAUUUUGUGGGAGGACUCCCUGGAGGUAGCUCCAUGAGUUGUCUUUUGAGGCUGGAACAUUCUAGAAGGCUUGUUCAUUCACAUGUCUGGAGUGUGGACUGGUAUAGUUGGACCAGCUAGAUUGUGUGUGGGUAUCUCUCUAUGUGGCCUCUCCAAGUGGCCAGGUUCAGCCUUCUCAAGCAUGAAAAUUUCAGGGAAGUGACACUUUUGACGUGGCAGUGUAAUGCCAGAUUCUGGGACCUCAAUAGAUCUCCAGGAGCGAAAUCCGAUGCAAUCACACAAGAGUCUUUAUUGCAAGCUCGAGCCUGGACUCACCACCAUUUCCAACGCAGCGGUCCCAGGGAGUGAGUCCUAGUCCUUUGUCCAGUGAGAUUUUAUAGGUUUUGGGGGGAUACUCUAUGUGUCACAACAUCACAGCAUUCCAUACCACGGGAAAGUUAAAAAAAAAUUCUUAGCAUUGAUUAGCACAUUCACUGGCGGGAACAAGUUGGGUAGGGAUGAUUGGUUAGUACAAGAGGGGGAUUCCUUUGAACUGAUUGGUUUAAGCCACGAGAGGUGUACGUGCUAAACUACAUGGUUUCCCAACAUUUUAUCAACCACUAAAUUACUGGGGGGUCAUCUGGUAUCCCAGGUAUUUUCCCUGUGUCAUGAUGAUUGGUGGUUGCUAAGGGGUUGCUAUGGGUCCUCACCUAGCCUAACUGAGUCUGGGACACCUGGCGCUGCAGAUCUCUCCUGUU